UACGUAGGGUGCAAGCGUUGUCCGGAAUUAUUGGGCGUAAAGAGCUCGUAGGCGGCUUGUCGCGUCGGCUGUGAAAACCUGGGGCUCAACCCCGGGCCUGCAGCCGAUACGGGCAAGCUAGAGUUCGGUAGGGGAGACUGGAAUUCCUGGUGUAGCGGUGAAAUGCGCAGAUAUCAGGAGGAACACCAGUGGCGAAGGCGGCUCACUGGCCCGGUACUGACGCUGAGGUGCGAAAGCGUGGGGGAGCGAACAGG
rnacentral:rRNA from 1 species